GAUCAUGGCUCAGGAUGAACGCUAACGACAGGCCUAACACAUGCAAGUCGAGGGGCAACAUGGUGUCAGCUUGCUGAUACCGAUGGCGACCGGCGCACGGGUGAGUAACGCGUAUGUAAUCUACCUGUAACAGAGGGAUAACCCGGAGAAAUCCGGACUAAUACCUCAUAGCACAUAUUAUUCGCAUGAAUUUUAUGUUAAAGAGACUCGGUUACAGAUGAACAUGCGUU
rnacentral:rRNA from 1 species